rnacentral:rRNA from 1 species
UACGUAGGGGGCAAGCGUUGUCCGGAAUCAUUGGGCGUAAAGAAGCGUGUAGGCGGCUCGGUAAGUCCGCUGUGGAAAGUCCGGGGCUCAACCCCGGGGAGGCGGGCGGAUACUGCCGGGCUAGAGUCCGGAAGAGGCGAGUGGAAUUCCGUGGUGUAGCGGUGAAAUGCGCAGAUAUCAAGGAGGAACACCAGUGGCGAAGGCGGCGAUCUGGGAAGAUACUGACGCUGAGGUGCGAAAGCGUGGGGAGCAAACAGG